AUUGAACGCUGGCGGCAUGCUUUACACAUGCAAGUCGAACGGCAGCGGGGGCUUCGGCCUGCCGGCGAGUGGCGAACGGGUGAGUAAUGCAUCGGAACGUGCCCAGUCAUGGGGGAUAACUACGCGAAAGCGUAGCUAAUACCGCAUACGCCCUGAGGGGGAAAGCGGGGGAUCGCAAGACCUCGCGUGAUUGGAGCGGCCGAUGUCGGAUUAGCUAGUUGGUGGGGUAAAGGCCUACCAAGGCGACGAUCCGUAGCGGGUCUGAGAGGAUGAUCCGCCACACUGGGACUGAGACACGGCCCAGACUCCUACGGGAGGCAGCAGUGGGGAAUUUUGGACAAUGGGGGGCAACCCUGAUCCAGCCAUGCCGCGUGAGUGAAGAAGGCCUGGUGUAAGC
rnacentral:rRNA from 1 species